UACGUAGGUGACAAGCGUUGUCCGGAUUUACUGGGCGUAAAGCGAACGCAGGCGGACUUUUAAGUAGGAAGUGAAAGGCGGGGGCUCAACCCCCGCACUGCUCCCUAUACUGGAAGUCUUGAGUUUUGGAGAGGAAAGCGGAACGACACGUGUAGCGGUGAAAUGCGUUGAUAUGUGUCGGAACACCGAUGGCGAAAGCAGCUUUCUGGACAAAUACUGACGCUGAGGUUCGAAAGCCAAGGGAGCGAACAGG
rnacentral:rRNA from 1 species